rnacentral:rRNA from 1 species
GAUGAACGCUGGCGGCGUGCCUAAUACAUGCAAGUCGAGCGAACAGACGAGGAGCUUGCUCCUCUGACGUUAGCGGCGGACGGGGGAGUAACACGGGGAUAACCUACCUAUAAGACUGGGAUAACUUCGGGAAACCGGAGCUAAUAGCGGAUAAUAUAUUGAACCGCAUGGUUCAAUAGUGAAAUACGGUUUUGCUGUCACUCAUAGAUGGUUCCGCGCGGCAUUAGGUAGUGGGUAAGGUAACGGCUUACAAAGGCGACGAUGGGUAGCCGACCGCAGAGGGUGGUCGCCCACACGGGAGGGGGGCCGCGGUCCAGGGUCCUGCGGGAGGCAGCAGUAGGGAAUGUUCCGCAAUGGGCGAGAGCCUGACGGAGCGGCGCCGCGUGAGUGAUGAAGGUCUUCGGAUCGUAAAGCUCGGUUAUUGGGGAAGAACAAAUGUGUAAGUAAACAUGCACGUCUUGACGGUACCUGGUCAGAAAGCCACGGCUAACUACGUG